rnacentral:rRNA from 1 species
CUACGGGGUGCAGCAGUCGAGAAUCUUUCCCAAUGGCCGAAAGGCUGAGGGAGCGACGCCGCGUGAAUGAAGAAGCCCUUCGGGGUGUAAAGUUCUUUUCUGUGGGAAGAAAUUAUUGACGGUACCACAGGAAUAAGGGACCGCUAAACUCGUGCCAGCAGCGGCGGUAAGACGAGUGUCCCAAGCGUUGUCCGGAUUCAUUGGGCGUAAAGGGUCCGUAGGCGGUUAGUUAAGUUCUCGGUCAAAUCUUUCUGCUUAACGGAAAGACUGCCGGGAAAACUGGCUAACUAGAGGCCGGGAGGAGUAAGCGGAACGUGUGGUGUAGGGGUAAAAUCCGUUGAUAUCACACGGAACACCAAAAGCGAAGGCAGCUUACUAAAACGGUUCUGACGCUGAGGGACGAAAGCGUGGGGAGCAAAAAGGAUUAGAUACCCGUGUAGUC